GUUGAGCCAGCAUGGUGUAGUGGUUUGAGUGUUGGACUCCGAAUACAGAGACCAGGGUUCGAAUCCCAGCUCAACC